AGUUACUUUUUUUCGCUGUCCUAUCAUGUAAUAAUAUCGAAUUUUACUCGUUUCAUAGUGCAUGUUUAUUUGCAAAGGACCGGUGAAUUCCCAUCGGCUUGGAUUAAUGUUCAUAUAUAUACAUGGAUAUUAGUUUCGAUAUAGACAUUGUUUCUACAGCACUUGGCAGGAUUGAAAAGAGUUCUGUCACCCCGCACAAUACCGCAAUGCUUGCUUCAUAUUCAACGGCAAAAGGGAAUGCUUGGGAUUGAUCCCAUGGCGUCCAAAUCC
rnacentral:sRNA from 1 species